rnacentral:rRNA from 1 species
UACGUAGGGUGCGAGCGUUAAUCGGAAUUACUGGGCGUAAAGCGUGCGCAGGCGGUUUUGUAAGCCAGAUGUGAAAUCCCCGGGCUUAACCUGGGAAUGGCAUUUGGGACUGCAAGGCUGGAGUACGGCAGAGGAGACUGGAAUUCCUGGUGUAGCAGUGAAAUGCGUAGAGAUCAGGAGGAAUACCGAUGGCGAAGGCAGGUCUCUGGGCUGAUACUGACGCUGAGGCGCGACAGCGUGGGGAGCAAACAGG